UGGGGAAUAUUGCACAAUGGAGGGCACUCUGAUGCAGCGACGCCGCGUGAACGAAGAAGGCUUUCGCGUCGUAAAGUUCUUUUAUAUGGGAAGAUAAUGACGGUACCAUAAGAAGAAGCCUCGGCUAACUACGUGCCAGCAGCCGCGGUAAUACGUAGGGGGCUAGCGUUGUCCGGAAUCACUGGGCGUAAAGGGUUCGCAGGCGGAAAUGCAAGUCAGGUGUAAAAGGCAGUAGCUUAACUACUGUAAGCAUUUGAAACUGCAUAUCUUGAGAAGAGUAGAGGUAAGUGGAAUUUUUAGUGUAGCGGUGAAAUGCGUAGAUAUUAAAAAGAAUACCGGUGGCGAAGGCGACUUACUGGGCUCAUUCUGACGCUGAGGAACGAAAGCGUGGGUAGCAAACAGG
rnacentral:rRNA from 1 species